UACAGAGGUCUCAAGCGUUGUUCGGAUUCAUUGGGCGUAAAGGGUGCGCAGGCGGUCUCGUAAGCUGGGUGUGAAAGCCCCGGGCUUAACCUGGGAAUGGCAUUCAGGACUGCGAGGCUUUGAGUGCGGCAGAGGGAGGUGGAAUUCCACGUGUAGCAGUGAAAUGCGUAGAGAUGUGGAGGAACACCGAUGGCGAAGGCAGCCUCCUGGGCCAGCACUGACGCUCAUGCACGAAAGCGUGGGGAGCAAACAGG
rnacentral:rRNA from 1 species